rnacentral:piRNA from 1 species
AUGUUUACUGGGGUAGAUGCAGACA